GACGAACGCUGGCGGCGUGCUUAACACAUGCAAGUCGAGCGGAGCGGCGAACGGGUGAGUAGCGCGUUAGUAAUGGCCCCCCUCUCUGGGGUAACAGUUGGAAACGGCUGCUAAUACCGGAUAGUGUGGGAUGACUCGCGUCCUAUCAGCUUGUUGGUGGGGUAGUGGCAUACCAAGGCGACGACGGGUAGCCGGCCUGGGAGGGCGACCGGCCACAUUGGGCUGAGGUACGGCCCAAACUCCAACGGGAGGCAGCAGUGGGGAAUAUUGCACAAUGGGGGAAACCCUGAGGCAGCAACGCCGCGUGCGGAAAGACGGCCUUCGGGUGGUAAACCGCGUUCAGCCAUGACGCGGUAGUGGCAGAAGAAGCACCGGCUAACUACGUGCCAGCAGCCGCGGUAAUAC
rnacentral:rRNA from 1 species